rnacentral:rRNA from 1 species
AUUGAACGCUGGCGGCAGGCCUAACACAUGCAAGUCGAGCGGAUGAGUGGAGCUUGCUCCAUGAUUCAGCGGCGGACGGGUGAGUAAUGCCUAGGAAUCUGCCUGGUAGUGGGGGACAACGUUUCGAAAGGAACGCUAAUACCGCAUACGUCCUACGGGAGAAAGUGGGGGAUCUUCGGACCUCACGCUAUCAGAUGAGCCUAGGUCGGAUUAGCUAGUUGGUGAGGUAAAGGCUCACCAAGGCGACGAUCCGUAACUGGUCUGAGAGGAUGAUCAGUCAUACUGGAGCUGAGACACGGUCCAGACUCCUACGGGAGGCAGCAGUGGGGAAUAUUGGACAAUGGGCGAAAGCCUGAUCCAGCCAUGCCGCGUGUGUGAAGAAGGUCUUCGGACUGUAAAGCACUUUAAGUUGGGAGGAAGGGCAGUAAGUUAAUACCUUGCUGUUUUGACGUUACCAACAGAAUAAGCACCGGCUAACUUCGUGCCAGCCGCCGCGGUAAAAC